GAUUUCUGGUACGGUGCGCCUGGUCCACGGCAGCAAUGUCGUGAGUGCCGGAGUGCGUCUGCCAUCCUUGUAGAGAACUGCACUGCCCUUAACUGGGUCGGUGCAGCCAUCUACAUCGUUUACUUUGAAAAAAUUAGAGUGUUUCAAGCAGGCUUUAUGCUAUGAAUACAUUAGCAUGGAAUAAUAAUUUAGGACUUCGGUUCUAUUUUGUUGGUUUCUAGGACUGAAGUAAUGAUUGAUAGGGAUAGUUGGGGGUGCUAGUAUUCAGCGGCCAGAGGUGAAAUUCUCGGAUUCGCUGAAGACUAACUUAUGCGAAAGCAUU
rnacentral:rRNA from 1 species